CACGUAGGGGGCAAGCGUUGUCCGGAUUUAUUGGGCGUAAAGAGCUCGUAGGCGGUUCGGUAAGUCGGGUGUGAAACCUCCAGGCUCAACCUGGAGACGCCACCCGAUACUGCUGUGACUAGAGUCCGGUAGGGGAGCGUGGAAUUCCUGGUGUAGCGGUGAAAUGCGCAGAUAUCAGGAGGAACACCGGUGGCGAAGGCGGGUCUCUGGGCCGUAACUGACGCUGAGGAGCGAAAGCAUGGGGAGCGAACAGG
rnacentral:rRNA from 1 species